AACUGUUUAGUUUAUAUUAAAACAAAUGUUUUGAAAACAUUUUAAAGAAAAGAUUGUUUCUAAUAGUUA
rnacentral:tRNA from 1 species